GACGAACGCUGGCGGCGUGCCUAAUACAUGCAAGUCGAACGCAUUUUCUUUCACCGUAGCUUGCUACACCGAAAGAAAAUGAGUGGCGAACGGGUGAGUAACACGUGGGUAACCUGCCCAUCAGCGGGGGAUAACACUUGGAAACAGGUGCUAAUACCGCAUAAUUCCAUUUACCGCAUGGUAAAUGGAUGAAAGGCGCUUUUGCGUCACUGAUGGAUGGACCCGCGGUGCAUUAGCUAGUUGGUGGGGUAACGGCCUACCAAGGCUGCGAUGCAUAGCCGACCUGAGAGGGUGAUCGGCCACACUGGGACUGAGACACGGCCCAGACUCCUACGGGAGGCAGCAGUAGGGAAUCUUCGGCAAUGGACGCAAGUCUGACCGAGCAACGCCGCGUGAGUGAAGAAGGUUUUCGGAUUGUAAAACUCUGUUGUUAGAGAAGAACAAGGAUGAGAGUGGAAAGUUCAUCCCUUGACGGUAUCUAACCAGAAAGCCACGGCUAACUACGUG
rnacentral:rRNA from 1 species